CCUCUCCCUCUCCACUCACUCUCCCUCCGGUUCCUAAGAAGGUUAGGGUUUUCAUCAUCUCUCUCGUUUUCAUUAAUGCGUGUAGAUUUUUCGGUUAAAGGAAAUGCUGGUGAAGGAUGCCUGUGAUGAGGAAAUGAAAGUCAUGCACCACUCUGAUGUUUUCAGUGCUGAUAUAUGACAUACCCAUUUCUAUCUGAGCCAUUCUUCAUCUCUCUCUCAUAUGUUCUGAGAGUUGGGGUUUUUGGAUUUCUAAUUUCCUUUCUAUUUUGGUUGUGUAAUUUUUUAGGACUUUUUGGGUUGUUAUUUGUGUCCUUUUUCUUUUUAUUUUAUGAAAUAAAAGAUUGCCAAAUGAUGUAGCUGUUUUCUGUUGAAAAUGGCUAACUAUGAUGCGGACCGUAGAGAAACUAUGUUUGCUCUAUGGGGAUAAGCACUGGUGUUUGAUGGCUCUCUUUUUUUCUUUGAUAGUUAGAUCUCUUACAUUUAUUUGAUGGGGUGGUCUUGAUUGCUGCUGGUUUCCGGUUGUCCAUUCAUGGUCUUCUUCAAUGGGCAUUUUCCUAAACUGUUGAUAGUUUUUUCCUGGAUAGACUUGGUGAGUAAAGGUGAUCCUAACUACUGGAUUAUGUCCUGAGAAUGCCAUAAAUGGUUCAAAUUUAAUGGAACCGGGCUAGAGAUCCGAAUGGCUACAUGUUCAAUAUUUCCUAGAUCCGAUAUUCCAAUCUUAUGGGAUUUUUUUAAUGUUGUUUCCCAAAUUCACAGCUUUAGGGCUUUCUUGCUAACCUUGGUAGAGCACAGCACCACUACUGUGGCAGAAUAAGAUUGUACUUAAGCUUACCAAAUCAUGAUCCAGAGUGUUGCUUUUUGGAUCUCGUCUUAAAGCUUCACUCUGUUUCAACUCCAAGUGCCUGAGCCUCUAUACGAUUGCUGUGCCCAGCUAUAUUGAUCUUUCCUCUGAGAGUCCCUGCCUUUCGUUUUCCAAGUCUACGUGUUUCCACUUCCAUCAUCUUUUAUAUAUUGCUUGUUUGUUAUAUUAUUCUGCUUUUUGAUGUAAUUUCUUUAAAUUCCAACCAAAAGUAUUGCAUUGUUUUCCAUGCUGAUUAGAUCAGCAGUGAUGUUGUGUCAAUUCACAAGCUUGAUGGGAGGUAUCAAACUGAGACUUUUGAGUAGGCUUUAAUCCUAAAUUCCCAGCAGUGGUUUUCUCAUUCCUUCCCUAAGCCAUAGCUAUGGCCACAAAGGGUUUAGAACCUAGUUGUUUUAAAAAUAUGCUUGGUUCUCAGUUGGACUGUGGCUUUGGCAUAUGGAUCUGACCUGAUUGUUACGUGCUUCUUUUACAUGGUCCCAUCCUUUUCUCAUGUUGUGUUAAAAUGCCUAGGAGUGCCAUGUGCUGACAGAAUCUCACAUGGCAGAGUUUGUGGAUCAUGUUUUGAAUCAGUAACUUUCAAUUAACUUUGAACCAUGGAUGUCUAGCUUCUUAAUUUAUCAACCAUUGUUCAUUUCAAAAUUCAUUUUUUUUCUUUUUUCUCGUAUGUAAUGUCAAAUACUAUUAGCAAGCACCUUUUGGCUUGUGCAUGUAUGUUCAGGAUAAUUUAUAAAGGUCAGAGAAUUCCUCGAUUUUGACAAUUGUGAAUCAUUCAUGAAAAAAAAUUCUGAAAAUUUUUACAAAUUAUUCAUGGAUCAUGCCUCUAACUCUUAUGUUAACUUGUCGUUAGAUGAGCUGGUGGAGAAUAGUUUGUGUGAAUGAUCUAGGGUUCAAUUUUGAUAAAAUGACUAUCAGGUGCAAUAGAUUCAAAAAAUGACAAAUAUAUGGUGUGAGUCGCGAGUUGAAACUUGGGACCCUUUUCUUCCUUGUUUCAUGGUUGUUCUUAUUUUUUAUUUUUAAUUUGUAUUCUAUGUCAUCCAAAGUCCAGGUUCUAGACAAUGAUGAGAUUGCACGCUUUCAAUUUUGUGGUUUUCUAUCAUUACACUCUUGUUAAAAUCAUAUCCUCUUCAUGUAAAAUGAUAUCUUGAUGCAAUUGCACUUAUUAACUUUUGUGUGCUUUGCAAGGAGAUCCUAACUUUCAUUUACCCAACAUGCUAUCAAUUGGAUGUUUGUUUAAAUUCGAUUUUUUGUUAUUUUCAUCUUCAACAGGAUUAUGUUCAACAGCUAGAGUCUAGUAGGAUUAACUUAGCUAGUACAGGAGCUCUAGAGGGCUCGAGCUCAGGUGAGGCUCUUUAUUCAUGUGUACUAUAUAUAGUACAUUACCCAGCGUAAAGUCGAAUAAUCCGCUGUCCAUUCUCAUGAGAUUUUGAUUUAGACUUGCUACAGUAGACCGUGUUAAGAUCCCUUCAAAACAUUGAUGGUGGAUGAUAGACUAUAAAUUGAAUUCUCAUACCUCUUUCUAAUUUUUGUUGUUUUGCAAAAUUAUAUUUAUUGGGAAAUAUUUUUGGGAUGUGAACGCUCUUACUGUCCUUUCUUGUGGUCGGGCAAGUCUAUUAUUCAAAAAGCUCUAUUUGAAGUUGGAUGCUCUCUCUCAUUUUCUAUUGAGAUACUUCUAAUAUUGGGUGGGGGAAAUCCAAUUUCUACAUCCAGUGAUGAGUUGGGCCAUGUAUGGAUGAGACUUAGAACUAAGUAGGAAUGAAAUGUCUAGAUUGAUUAAGUUUUGGGCUGAGGGUAAAUACUUGCAUUUUUUCUAUUCAGAUACUUCUAAUAUUGAAUGAAAUUGAGUUUUCUCUUUGACAGAGUGAAGAAGAAGAGUGUGGUUUUCAUUUUCCGUUCUUCUUUAUACUUGGAAGUUGGGUUUAAUAUUGCUCAAGUCAUUAGGGUAUAACCCAUGUAUGGAGGAUUUCAUGUUUCCAUGCUUGGGCUGCCAACCAAAAACAGAGUUCUCAACUUGUGGCUGGCCAUGAUUUAGAUAAUGCUAAGCACAAUUUGCAAAACAAAUCUACAGCUUUGAGAAACUUUGCAAAGUUUUAUAACCCAUUCGUUGGUUUCAAAUAUCGGAGGCCAUAUGCUGGUUGGACCAGAUUUUGCUUUUGGGAAAACAUAUACAAGGUGUGUUUCUUUCUUUCUUUCAUUUUUUGGAAACUCACUCAUCUCUCUAGUGAUCCCAUUAUGAGGUAGGGUUGGUAGCUCCCUUGUACUCAGCCACUUGAACAUCGCACUUGAGCACGAUAAUCCAUUCAUUCUUUAUUAUGCCAGAAUCUCUUAAAUGAUUUAUCUAUGUGUUGCCUUCCUUUUAGUUUUGUUGUAGUAUAGUCAUUUUAUUUUAUAAGCAUAUGUCAUUCAAGGUGACCUUUGAAGAGGAUGCUUAUGAAAGGGAAAACUUUCUGGCUACAAAAUAUCCUUAUAGGCAUUAGAUAUAUAAUCUUUAUAUACAUGGAGAUGCACUUUACAGGAGCAUUGCAAGUGAUGGUGGUUUUCCUUUCCUUGACAUUGUCUGAUAUAUGAUUUUGUCACUGGUUUCCUCUUCAAUCUAAAUGCAGUGAUUUAAACAUGUCCAUCUAAUAAAUGCAGGAUAUCAACUGAACUUGCUGCCUUGUCUAGUCAGCAACAUGGUGCCUUGUUUCAAAACAAAAGCAGCAACGAUAAUUUGUUCCAGCAAAAUCUGGGCAUAUCCAAUGAUCUCUCAAGUGAUCCCAACCAACAUUCACACAGAUCCUUGAAAAGCUAUACCAUGCCAGCCACGUCAUCAUUGGAAAUGAGUUGGUGAAGCUAGCAUCCAUUCAGCUCUCAUUCAAUGAUUGUGCUUCUGCAAUGGAUACCAUAAAACGGGUAGAUGCAAUAUUUUCACUGUAUUAUGGAUCUCACACGUCGAAGCUAUUUCCAUAUUUGGAAAAUCUCAAAAGAAAAGUUCUCAAGCUCGCUCCAUAAUGAGAAACCUUCUGUUUUAUCUGUUCAGAUCUUCACUGACUUUAGGUGUGGAUAUAUUGGUUGGCGUCACUGACUUUAGGUAAACACUUCUAUGCCCACAGAAUUGCUUUGCUUGCUUCUUCAGACGCGUUCCGUGCAAUGUUUGACAGUGGUUAUCAGCUGAGUCUAGCCAUAUUUUCACAUUCAACACAUGGUACAUCAGUACAUUGUCAUACAUCUUCACGCAAGGUGAUUUGCAGGCUUUCUAGUCAAUAACAUCUCCACCGACAAAGCCAUGGCAUGGUUUCUUGGAAACAACAGCUUGUCCGAUACACGGCCAUUCCAAAAAAGCUAUAUACUUCUUAAAUUGUUUUAGGCAUGGAUGAAUGGUAGCUAGAUCGAUGGAUUUUAUUUAUUUAUUUAUUUAUUUUGAAACUAUUCAAUUUAUUAUUGUAAAUAUUAUUCGCAGCAGCUCUAGUAGAGUAGAGAAGGGAAAUGGCUACAACAUCAAACAAAGAAGCCUCCAUCUACUUGCUUAUAAGUUGCUUUUUGUAAGCCAUAGCCCAUCCUACCAAUGCAACAGCCAAUUUUUUUGGCUUGCACAUUCGUGCGCCACAUCAGCACAUAAGGUGGCAUGCCUAAUGCUAACCUUUGACUCAGUGGCAUCAAAUGAAUGGCUAAGAUGAAAACUGUCAAGGAGAUUUUUGGGGCACAA